AUUAAAUCUGGAUAGUAUAAUUGUGGCAAGAUUUGAGGUUUUCACGGCGAGCUUUCUGAAUGAUACAGUUUACAAAAACAAUCUGCAGACAAUCAAAGAACUGUGGCAAGAAGUUUUGGCAACACUGAUCAGCAUCAAUGAAGAAACUCUGACAACUGUGUGAAAUUUCCAACAUUGGGUGCAGAUGGUCUUCAACGCUGAUGACACACAUACUGAAAAUGUUUUAAAGUAAUUGUCAACUCUGAAGACUAGUGAACUCAGUGACGCCAAAUAAAGAGAUGUUUGCUAUGUA